UACGGAGGGUGCAAGCGUUAUCCGGAUUCACUGGGUUUAAAGGGUGCGUAGGAGGGCAGGGAAGUCAGUGGUGAAAUCUCCGAGCUUAACUCGGAAACUGCCGUUGAUACUCUCUGUCUUGAAUCCCGUGGAGGUGAGCGGAAUAUGUCAUGUAGCGGUGAAAUGCUUAGAUAUGACAUAGAACACCAAUUGCGAAGGCAGCUCGCUACACGAAGAUUGACUCUGAGGCACGAAAGCGUGGGGAUCAAACAGG
rnacentral:rRNA from 1 species